UACAGAGACCUCAAGCGUUAUCCGGAAUCAUUGGGCGUAAAGCGUACCGACAGGUGGUUGUAUAAGUCAGAUGUGAAAUACUCCGAGCUCAACUCGGAAUCUGUCAUUUGAAACUAUACGACUAGAGGGGCAAAGGAGGAAGCUGGAACGAACGGUGUAGUAGUGAAAUGGCGUUGAUAUCGUUCGGAACACCAAUAGCGAAGGCAAGGCUUCUGGGUGCCACCUGGACA
rnacentral:rRNA from 1 species